rnacentral:rRNA from 1 species
AAUGAACGCUGGCGGCAGGCCUAACACAUGCAAGUCGAACGGAUCCUUCGGGAUUAGUGGCGGACGGGUGAGUAACGCGUGGGAACAUACCCUUUGGUACGGAAUAGCCUCGGGAAACUGGGAGUAAUACCGUAUGUGGUCGAGAGACGAAAGAUUUAUCGCCAAAGGAUUGGCCCGCGUUGGAUUAGGUAGUUGGUGGGGUAAUGGCCUACCAAGCCGACGAUCCAUAGCUGGUUUGAGAGGAUGAUCAGCCACACUGGGACUGAGACACAGCCCAGACUCCUACGGGAGGCAGCAGUGGGGAAUCUUAGACAAUGGGGGAAACCCUGAUCUAGCCAUGCCGCGUGAUCGAUGAAGGCCUUAGGGUUGUAAAGCUCUUUUACCAGGGAUGAUAAUGACAGUACCUGGAGAAUAAGCUCCGGCUAACUCCGUGCCAGCCGCCGCAGUAA